ACUGGCACAAUGAUGACUUAAAUUACCUUUUGCCGUUUACCCAUCUGAGAGUUUCUUUGAAGAAAUUACUUCUAAGACUGAGAUGCCAGU
ensembl:snoRNA small nucleolar RNA, C/D box 87